rnacentral:sRNA from 1 species
UAUCUCUCUGUACGGGGAAAGAUGAGAAGCUUCGACUAAGGUUCGAUUCGAGCGAAAGCGAGAAAGCGUUGCCAACAGCAACGACCCGAAGGGCGAAGCGCGCAGCGCUGAGUCAUCCUUCCCCCACCACCA